AUGGCGGAGCCCGGCCGCCCGUGGGCCCAGGCGCGUAGUGCGUACAGAGCCAGCGAGGUGCUGCGGCGCGGCACGGGCCGCCGGCGGGAUCCGGGGCCGCAAUCCAAUGGGCCGGGCCAGGAAGACGCCCGAGCCCCGGGCCGGAUGGCUCGCCUGCGCGGCCAGCUCCGGGCCGAAGCGGCUUCGCGGUCCGAGGUGCCGCGGCUGCUGAAGCUGGUGGAGCGUGCGGGGGCCGGGGCGGCCGGGCGCGGGCGAGAGGACCGGCGCGCACAGCCGCGGGCUCCGUGUGCUCGGUAUGCGGGGAGCCCCGCGGCGGGGCCACCUACCCGGCGGGGGUCCUGGAGGUGAGCGAGCGGCGGCUGCAGGAGGGCCUGGCGGCAGUGCGCGAGGAGCUGGGCGCCGGGAUUGAGGCGCUGCGCGCGGAGCUUCGAGCGGAGCUGGAUGCCCUGCGCGCGCUGCUGCCGCCGCCGCCGUCCCCGCCUGCCCGCCGCGAGCCCCGCGCCGUCCCCCGCGCCGCGCCCCGCGGCCCGACCCUGCCGCGGACGCUCGGCACCGUGAGCGCCCUGGUCGCCGCCUCCAGGCCCGCAGACGACGCCCCGGACGGCCCAGCAGAAUGCGGAGCGCACCGAGCCCCGGCCAGGAAGAACCACAAGAAGAUGCCAGUGCCGCCUGGGGCCCCGCAAGGUGGCGGGGACUGA